GAUGUUCUAACGUGGACCCGUGAUCCGGGUUGCGGACAGUGUCUGGUGGGUAGUUUGACUGGGGCGGUCUCCUCCUAAAGAGUAACGGAGGAGCACGAAGGUUGGCUAAUCCUGGUCGGACAUCAGGAGGUUAGUGCAAUGGCAUAAGCCAGCUUGACUGCGAGCGUGACGGCGCGAGCAGGUGCGAAAGCAGGUCAUAGUGAUCCGGUGGUUCUGAAUGGAAGGGCCAUCGCUCAACGGAUAAAAGGUACUCCGGGGAUAACAGGCUGAUACCGCCCAAGAGUUCAUAUCGACGGCGGUGUUUGGCACCUCGAUGUCGGCUCAUCACAUCCUGGGGCUGAAGUAGGUCCCAAGGGUAUGGCUGUUCGCCAUUUAAAGUGGUACGCGAGCUGGGUUUAGAACGUCGUGAGACAGUUCGGUCCCUAUCUGCCGUGGGCGCUGGAGAACUGAGGGGGGCUGCUCCUAGUACGAGAGGACCGGAGUGGACGCAUCACUGGUGUUCGGGUUGUCAUGCCAAUGGCACUGCCCGGUAGCUAAAUGCGGAAGAGAUAAGUGCUGAAAGCAUCUAAGCACGAAACUUGCCCCGAGAUGAGUUCUCCCUGAGACUUUAGGUCUCCUGAAGGAACGUUGAAGACGACGACGUUGAUAGGCCGGGUGUGUAAGCGCAGCGAUGCGUUGAGCUAACCGGUACUAAUGAACCGUGAGGCUUAACCUUACA
rnacentral:rRNA from 2 species